UACGUAGGUGACAAGCGUUAUCCGGAUUUGCUGGGUGUAAAGGGCGUGUAGGCGGCUUUGCAAGUCAGAAGUGAAAUUCCCGAGCUCAACUUGGGCGCUGCUUCUGAAACUGCAGAACUUGAGUGCUGGAGAGGAUAGCGGAAUUCCUAGUGUAGCGGUAAAAUGCGUAGAUAUUAGGAGGAACACCGGUGGCGAAGGCGGCUAUCUGGACAGUAACUGACGCUGAGGCGCGAAAGCGUGGGGGGCAAAC
rnacentral:rRNA from 1 species